GAUCAUCGAUCUUUGAACGCACAUUGCGCCCC
rnacentral:rRNA from 1 species